rnacentral:SRP_RNA from 2 species
GCGGGAGUCGGGCGGACGGUGCACUCGCCAACCUGGUCAGGUCCGGAAGGAAGCAGCCACAACGAAUUCGUAUCGGGUCGCCCGGCUCCUACUUU